UAUAUACUCCCUCCGUUCCUAAAUACUUGUCUUUCUAGGCAUUUCAACAAGUGACUACAUACGGAGCAAAAUGAGUGAAUCUACACUCUAAAAUAUGUCUACAUACAUCCGUAUGUAGUAGUCAUUUGAAAUGUCUAAAAAGACAAGUAUUUAGGAACGGAGGGAGUAUACG
rnacentral:pre_miRNA from 1 species